rnacentral:rRNA from 1 species
UUCCGGUUGAUCCCGCCGGACCUGACUGCUAUCGGAUUGAUACUAAGCCAUGCGAGUCAUUGUAGCAAUACAAGGCAGACGGCUCAGUAACGCGUAGUCAACCUAACCUAUGGACGGGAAUAACCUCGGGAAACUGAGAGUAAUGCCCGAUAGAACACUAUAUCUGGAAUGGUUUGUGUUCCAAAUGAUUUAUCGCCGUAGGAUGGGACUGCGGCCUAUCAGUUUGUUGGUGAGGUAAUGGCCCACCAAGACUAUUACAGGUACGGGCUCUGAGAGGAGUAGCCCGGAGAUGGGUACUGAGACACGGACCCAGGCCCUAUGGGGCGCAGCAGGCGAGAAAACUUUGCAAUGUGCGAAAGCACGACAAGGUUAAUCCGAGUGGUUUCUGCUAAAGGAACCUUUUGUCGGUCCUAGAAACACCGAUGAAUAAGGGGUGGGCAAGUUCUGGUGUCAGCCGCCGCGGUAAAACCAGCACCUCAAGUGGUCAGGAUGAUUAUUGGGCCUAAAGCAUCCGUAGCCUGCUUUGUUAGUUUUCGGUUAAAUCUAUACGCUCAACGUAUAGGCUGCCGGGAAUACUGCAAAGCUAGGGAGUGGGAGAGGUAGACGGUACUCGGUAGGAAGGGGUAAAAUCCUUUGAUCUAUUGAUGACCACCUGUGGCGAAGGCGGUCUACCAGAACACGUCCGACGGUGAGGGAUGAAAGCUGGGGGAGCAAACCGGAUUAGAUACCCGGGUAGUCCCAGCCGUAAACCAUGCAAACUCAGUGAUGCAUUGGCUUGUGGCCAAUGCAGUGCUGCAGGGAAGCCGUUAAGUUUGCCGCCUGGGAAGUACGUACGCAAGUAUGAAACUUAAAGGAAUUGGCGGGGGAGCACCACAAGGGGUGAAGCCUGCGGUUCAAUUGGAGUCAACGCCGGGA